CCCAGGGAGUCUGAGGGGG
rnacentral:miRNA from 1 species